CCUCCAGCCUGGUUCUCUCUUGGCCCGGGCUCUCCUUCGCUGCGUCUCAGGAUCCUGGACCCCUUUGUAGGGUCUUCUUGGCUGAAGGCUCUCUCUUUGCUCCAUCCCUAUCUUCAGAUGCCCACUCUUGGGAAUCAGAAAACUAUGUCCAAGCAGGUGGUUUGCCAGCAAAUCAUGGGAGCAGCACUGCUUUACUCCUAGGAGUUGCCCAUCACCAAGGAGCCUGCAGAAGUUGCCCAUCACCAAGGAGCCUAGCUGGACAUCAAGCCCUCCCUAAGGGAGCUCACCCGAAGGAGGCCUAAAGGCCCACACUGAUGUCACAGCUGGAGACCUGUUGAGGGUUGGAACAUUCUCCCAGCUCAGAGAGGAUCCAUGAGCCCUCUCUGCAUCACACAGCUAGGGUAGGGGCUCCAAGCAUCUGGGCUCGACCUGGGCCCCCGAAGACCCCCCGAGUCCUAGCCCUGUCUGACUCGGGACAUGCCAUGGGACAACUGAUGGCCAAGUUGAUGAGCAUCUUCUGGGAACGGGUUCAUCAUCCUUGUGAUUGACAGCACAGACCGGGACCGGCUGCUGACCACUCGAGAGGAGCUGUAUAAGAUGCUGGCCCAUGAGGCUCUACACGAUGCGCCCAUCCUCAUCUUUGCCAAUAAGCAGGACAUGAAGGACUCCAUGACCAUCGUGGAGAUCUCCAGUUCCUCACCCUAGUGCCAUCAAAGACCACCCGUGGCACAUACAGGGCUGCUGUGCCCUCACCGGGGAAGGGCUGCCUGCCGGGCUGCAGUGGAUGCAGUCUCAGGCCACUGCCAGUUGAUGUCCCAGACUGAGGCCAACCAGAAACUUGGAGGGUUUUGCAUGGACUAUGUGGGUAGAAAACCCAAGUGACUAUUAUUUUUCUAUGACGCUGUAGUGACCAGGGGCAUCUAUGGAUGGUGAGAUUGCUACUGUCCACCCAACCCCCCCACUGAGGAGCUAGAUGGAGCACCCUGAGUUGCUGCAGACAGGACAGCAGAAAAGCUGCCCUUCACUCCAUGGAAGCAGGCAUCCUUCUUAGAGACACCAGGGGAGCUGUUGGAUGUGUUGGGGGAUCAGGAAGUGGAGCCCCCUCCCUCAGCCCUCAACCUCUCUGUAGGAAAAAUGGAGGGCCGAGUAAGAGACCCCUGGAAUUGUUCUUUAUUUCCUAGACCUCUACCCCAACCCUUUAACCCCCACUCCAGCUUUCCGGCCCCUUAGCCAUCUUUGUCCCAUACGCUUCAGUCAAAGGAGAUGCUAGAAAGGUGAAGAGGCUGGCUCAGGGGUUGCUCAGUCGUGUCCAACUCUUUGCGACCCCAUGGACCGUAGCCUACCAGGCUCCUCCCUCCAUGGGAUUCUCCAGGAAAGAGUACUGGAGCGGAUUGCCAUUUCCCUCUCCAGGGGAUCUUCCUGACCUGGGUCUCCCUCAUUCCAGGCAGAGGCUUUAACUUCUGAACCACCAGGGAAGGGGGGCAGAGCCAAAGCCUGAGAGGGGAGAGGGUGGAGGACUGGACGUUCCAGCCAGAGACGGGUCCUCACACUGCAGGGGGUUCCACUCCUUCCCCACCUUCCCAUUCCCUCUGAGACGCUGGGUCUGACCACAGCUUUUGAGCUUUAAGCUACCCCUUCACUCCCAGUAUCCUUCCAGUGUGAAUCCCACUCCUCCCAAUACCCCAGAUUCCUACAGCAUUUGUUUAUCUUGUCUUUUUGUAGUGAUUUUUUUCCCACACCGUAGUAGGAAUUUUAUGAAGGUAUAAUAAAUGCCA
ensembl:lncRNA